rnacentral:lncRNA from 1 species
UCUAUGACAGGGAGAGAGAAGAUAUUCUAGAAGUUUCUACUUCUAUUCCUAGCACAAAUUUGCAAAUUAUUCCAAGAAUGAGAGAUACACCAAAGCAGGCAAGUUAUGUACCGAGGGCAUAAAAGCUACCUCCACCUUUACUAUUUCUGGCUGUGCAUGUUUUUCUUAUUCUUUUUUACCCUUGAUAUUAUAGAACUGAGAAUCAUGUGAAGUUUUGGGGAAAUGUAUUCCUCAUGCUUAAGUCACCCUUUUGCAAAGUAUGAGAGCUAGAAAGGACUUCCAAGGUCACCCAUCUAACUCUUUUCAUGUUACAGAUACAACUGAGGUUUGCAGAGAUGAGGUGAUAUUCUCCUACACUUUAUCGUGCAGUUUUGUAAGAGAGCUGCUCAUGGGAAUGUGAUAGAGAGGAAGAGAAGCUGGGGACACCCCUCUCUAAGCCGUAAAUGGAGGGCAAGCAUCAAAGUGGGCCACUACAUAGCGUCUCUGAUGGGAGUUACAAAUUGGUGAGUAGGGGCUAGGACUUUUUGUGCAUAUGUAUAUCAUGUAUGACUCUGUGGCAGUCACUGUGCCACUGAGUAAAUUAUUCCUGUCAUUUACUGUUAUCACCACAGUAUACACAAUAUCCUUAUAAAUUAUAUACUUUUAUUUCUUCCAUUUGGCAGAAGGUGAAAUUGAGGCAUAAGAGGUUAAAUAACCGGCCAAAAUGCUUGGAGCUGUAGUUCAAACCAAAUGUGCCUGACAUAAU